rnacentral:rRNA from 1 species
AGAGUUUGAUCCUGGCUCAGAAUCAACGCUGGCGGCGCGCCUAACACAUGCAAGUCGCACGAGAAAGGCUCCUUCGGGGGCUGAGUACAGUGGCGCACGGGUGAGUAACACGUGGAUACCUGCCCUCAAGUGGGGAAUAACUUUGGGAAACCGGGGCUAAUACCGCAUACGUUCGAGAGAAGAAAGCAGCAAUGCGCUUGAGGAGGGGUCCGCGGCUGAUUAGCUAGUUGGUGGGGUAAAAGCCUACCAAGGCAAAGAUCAGUAGCCGGCCUGAGAGGGCACACGGCCACACUGGCACUGAGACACGGGCCAGACUCCUACGGGAGGCAGCAGUGGGGAAUCUUGCACAAUGGAGGAAACUCUGAUGCAGCGACGCCGCGUGAGCGAAGAAGCCUUUCGGGGUGUAAAGCUCUUACGCCAGGGACGAUAAUGACGGUACCUGAGA